CAAGUGCCCAAGAAAUGGACCCGACUCUCGAGAUUCUGAAAACGCGGCGUGACACGCGACCCCGACCCAUCUUUGCCCCCAGAGGAGAGCAGGCCCGAAAAAUAUUAUCCACAGUCUCCAGCCUUCUGUAGAAAGUCUCCAAUUUGUGAUUGGUGUUGGAAGGAGUGUGAACUUGAAGGAGGACUGGGUCAAGGACCUAAGGGUUAUGCCAACAUACAAUGAAUUGAGGAGUGUUUCUUUUUUGUUCUGUUCUUCGAAAGAGUUUGUGAACCUGUACUACUACAAUGGAAUCCACAGAAUUUUGAAAUUAGUCAAACUACUACUUUCCAGCCCUCGUUCUAAUAGUUACAAAAAGAUGAUGGUGCCUUGAGGAGCGCUUCACUGACAAAUCUGCAGAUCUAUAAGGAAAAGAAUACGUACACAUAAUUGAUUUCACACUGUUUAACAUUUCCUUUGUCUUCUUCUGGAAUAU